UACGAAGGGGGCUAGCGUUGCUCGGAAUCACUGGGCGUAAAGCGCACGUAGGCGGCUUUUUAAGUCAGGGGUGAAAUCCUGGAGCUCAACUCCAGAACUGCCUUUGAUACUGGGAAGCUUGAGUCCGGAAGAGGUGAGUGGAACUCCGAGUGUAGAGGUGAAAUGCGUAGAUAUCGGAAGGAACAUCAGUGGCGAAGGCGACUUCCUGGACCAAUACUGACGCUCAGGUGCGAAAGCGUGGGGAGCAAACAGG
rnacentral:rRNA from 1 species